rnacentral:misc_RNA from 1 species
AGCAGCCGCGGUAAUUCCAGCUCCAAUAGCGUAUAUUAAAGUUGUUGCAGUUAAAAGCUCGUAGUUGAAUUUUGGGUCUGGCCGGGCGGUCCGCCCUCUGGGUGAGCACUGUUCCGACGCCGGGCCUAUCCUUCUGGUGAGUCGGCAUGUCCUUUAUUGGGUGUGCCGGGGAACCAGGACCAUUACCUUGAAAAAUUGAGUGUUCAAAGCAGGCGUAUGCUCGGAUACAUUAGCAUGGAAUAAUGAAAUAGGACGCGUGGUGCUAUUUUGUUGGUUUCUAGAACCGCCGUAAUGAUUAAUAGGGAUAGUUGGGGGCAUUAGUAUUCAAUUGUCAGAGGUGAAAUUCUUAGAUUUAUUGAAGACUAACUUCUGCGAAAGCAUUUGCCAAGGAUGUUUUCAUUAAUCAAGAACGAAAGUUAGGGAUCGAAGACGAUCAGAUACCGUCGUAGUCUUAACCAUAAACUAUG